rnacentral:tRNA from 1 species
AGUCCUGUCGUUCAGCGGUAAGGACACUCGGCUCUGGCCCGGGAGAUCGGAGGUUCGAAUCCUCCCAGGACUA